rnacentral:lncRNA from 1 species
AUGCCGUCCGAGAAAACCUUCAAACAGCGCCGAACCUUCGAACAAAGAGUAGAAGAUGUCCGACUUAUCCGAGAGCAGCAUCCUACCAAAAUCCCGGUAAUAAUAGAACGAUACAAAGGUGAGAAACAGCUUCCUGUCCUGGAUAAAACAAAGUUUCUGGUGCCUGAUCAUGUCAACAUGAGUGAGCUCAUCAAGAUAAUAAGAAGGCGCUUACAGCUCAAUGCUGAUAAGCCUUCUUCCUGUUAGUGAAUGGACAUAGCAUGGUGAGUGUGUCCACUCCGAUUUGUGAAGUGUAUGAAAGCGAGAAGGAUGAAGAUGGAUUCCUGUAUAUGGUAUACGCCUCUCAGGAGACUUUUGGAAUGAAAUUAUCUGUGUAA